rnacentral:lncRNA from 1 species
AUAUAUAUAUAUAUAAUUGAGCUAGAAUAUUUUUAGAAGCACUAACUUUUUGGUGUUUUUAGAUUUCUAGCCCUUGAAUUUACUCCUUGAUUAUUAAUAGUUUUUGAAUUAAAUACUAUUUCACCUAUCAUCAUCUACCACUAUCUAUCACCAUCAUCUCAAUCUUAUAUCUCUCCAUCUAAUGGCUAAAAACUCAAAAACACCACCCUCUUGAUGCUUUCGACAGUAUUCUAGCUCAACUAUAUAUAUAUAUAUAUAUAUAUAGAGCUAGGCUGCUAUACUAUCGGUAGCACGGACGUCUCCGUGCUACCAAGUUGUUUUCAAUGAUGCCGCUUCCAAAUCGACGAUCGGCUCCGUUAGACUUGAUAUACACUAUUGAAAACAUUUGGAAACUAAAUUUCAUAAUUUUUUGGUAUCAUUUACCUAUCAAACGAGUAGUCUAAAAAUGAACGGCUGAAAAUAAAAAUCUCAUAAACAAUGAUGAUAGAAGAUUUGAAUUUAAGAUCAGAGAUACUGAUCUUACUCUAAAUAGUAAAAAGAAUUUUCUAUAAAAAUUUCAUCUGAUUUGGAUUGUUUUACACCGUUAAAUUUACAAAUACAUCACAUCUACCAUUAAAAUUGUCAAUUUUGAGAUCUUUUGAUCACUAGCCAAAUGAUGUCGAAAAAUUCUGAAAUUUAGUUUCCAAAUACGUUCAAUGGUGUAGAUCACGUCUAACGGAGCGGAUUGUCGAUUUGGAAGCCGCAUCAUCGAAAACAACUUGAUAGCACGGAAGUCUCCGUGCUACCGAUAGUAUAGCAGCCGGACUCUAUAUAUAUAUAUAUA